CGAUGCCUUUAGGUCCUUCGCCGUGUUCUUUCCGCACACGGCAAAGUUAUUCUGCGGCGUCUAGAUUU
rnacentral:snoRNA from 1 species